rnacentral:misc_RNA from 1 species
CGCUCCUCUCUCUGACUUCGAUCAGCACCUGAGAGCCUUGCACCGUCUCUUUCUUGUACCUCCGCCAUCACUGACACCGCCCCCACGCAGCACACCAGCGUGAUCACGCCAGCACGCUCAGGACCCUUUUGGAACGCGUCCGCUUUCACGUUGCACGCACACGCAGAGCUACGUGCACUCGUCCCCCCUCCCCCUCCGGCGACAAGGCGGUGACACCGCACUGCUUGGAACCACAGCGGCUGUGGGCAGAAAAGCACGCUGGCUCACGGGAUCACUCCACCUCUAAGUUCCUCCUCCCCACCCCCUGGCUUUCGGUUGAAGACGAUCCGUGGUGAGAGCUGAUUAAGGCAACGGCAGUGUGCACACAAUCGUGUGCGUGUGUGUGCGACGUGACGGAAACGGCGCGUCCUCCUUUUAGCGGGCCUUUGUGUGUUCGGCGCCGUGAAGGCCCUUCUCUGGAGGCUUUCGCUCUCUCUUCCCCUCUCUCGUUCUCCUUGUGCUCUUCGCGUGUGUGCGAGGGUGCGCCGCCUCGUCUCCAAUCCUUCCCUCUCUUUUCGCGCUCGCUUGAGAGGAGACCGCCCGCCUCCGCAUCAUCGCCUUUCCUUUCGUUCCUGCUUCUAUAUUGGCUCCCUCGUCUCUCCCCUCGCCGAGCUUGUCGAUGCGUUUGUGACUGCCUCUGCGUCUCUAUGCCUCUGUGUGUGUGUGUGUGUGUGUGCGCCUGUGCAUGUGAAGGUACGAGCGCACUGCAGUAGCUUCUAUCCGACACGGUAGAGAGACAUUCCCCUCCCCUCCCUUCACCCACCACCACCACCACCACCACCCCCGGGGCCCGGGCCCCUUGCACAGAGGGCGAAGCGUUCGCUCGAGCAUCGACAUUGGUGCUCACGAAGAGGCGAAGCGAGAGACGGACUGUUGCUGCUGCAUUACGCGUCGUGGCAGCGGUGGCGCACCGUUCACUGGGCGCACACUCAGAUACCGAUACAUACAUACAUACAUAUAUAUAUAUAUAUAUGCAUAUAUAGUAGACACGCAGAUAUACAGACGCGCGCGCUUACAUUAUUGAAGACGUUAUUUAUUGAGUUUCUUUUAUUUUGUUGUGUGUGGUCUCUCUGCUGCUGCUGCGCUCACUUAGCAGCCUCCCCUCCGCUCCCCUUCAAGACGUUCGUGGCGUGUGCGCGCGCGUGCGGCCACCUCUUUUUUUUUGGUCCGCCUCCUCGUGGUCUACGGAGGCAGCGGGUAGAGCCGACUUAUCAACAGAAAUCGCAGCCAUCCAUCCACCCAAUCUAUAUAUACAGGCAUCUAUAUAUAUAUAUAUAUAUAUAUAUAUAUAUAUAUAUAUAUAUAUCUUUAUACAGCUAAGCGUCGUGCGCGCACACACACGCCCUCCUCCUCCUCUUAUCUCUCACGCGCGUGCUCGCGGUUUCUCUUUCGCCCCGCUUGUUUGAAUCAGCGCAGCGCGCGAGUUUCUCCGUCUCGCCGAGCUCUCGCCAAAAGGGUGUGCCGCUCAUGUCUGGCUCACAGCUCCACAGCGCCACCGCUGCUGCCACCAUGACAUCCACGGCCGUUUCUUCGGCGUCCGCUGAGCCGUCGCCGCCGACCGGGUCGUCAUCAACCGCGAUAAUGUCGUCCUCCUUGACGGCACUGGCGCAGCAACAACAGCGGCUGCUCGUCUCAUCACUGCUGCCAUGCGACAGCCCUCUCCAAUACGUAGACCCGACUGCUGAUGGCCUACCCGGCACCAGUCCAUCAUGCGCUGAAGAACACAACAGUUGUACGCGGCCUGACGCAGCUCAGCAUGACAGGGCUGUAUCGAUGCGGGUGCCCCAUGCCACAGCGCACGAGCGCAGCGAGUACGCCAGCAAUGAUCCUGGUCCUUCUCCCCCUUUCCUUCCCGCCGCAGAAGAGCGGCUGACGGGUCGAAGUCCCGACGCCGCCGACGCCACUUCGCACUUGGAUCACGAUGGCGCGGCAGACUGCGCAACGUCCUCUUCGAGCACCGCAACGGCGUCGACGAUCUCCAUGCACAUCACUGAGACUUGCGUACUGAAAGACACACUGCCGGCUCCGCCAAUGCAAGACCAAUCAAGCUCAGAGGGCGGCGUUGACGCUACCGCCGCGCGGUACAGCUCUUCGUCCCUUGUAAACGCAGGCAGUGACGCAACACUCACCAUGACUGGCAUGAGGAGCGCCACUCCUAGCUCGCCGCUCAAGGCGCAGUCGAACUCCCUGCAACCGAAGGAGAGUGCAAAAGUCGCUAUAGAUGCGGUAUCGCGGGGCUCUGCAGGGCAGCAGCCCAGCGCAAGUGGGGGCCUGACAACGAUGAUGACGACGGCCACCUCCACCAACACCACCACUGCAGCAAGAGGAUUGCCUCGCACGAUGCUGCCUGACACGCUGUCGGCGUGCACCACCAUGAAGGGGCCCGAGACGUUGUCGUCUCAAGCGGGGUCGCUGAUGCUGCCGCUGAGCGAUGGCACGCCGCCGAGCUGCUCGAUGAAGGCGGCAACAGCGGCCCUGUCAGGGCCGCGCCGUGAGAAGCGACGCCCGCCAUCACUCUUUUCAAGCUCGCCAGCGACGACUUCUCUGACCGUCGCCACGAGACCCGUGCUGAUCACACCAGCUGUCAGCAGACAAGAGGAUCGAUCACUCACCACGUCAGUGACGCAGACGGCCUCUUCUGUCUCUCAAACCAACCAGCCCCUGCACGGGCAGGUGCAGCGGCCGCCUGCGCCUCUGCCGCGCACACCCGGCGCACCCAGCCCACUAUCUUCGACCCUCGUCUCAUCCGCCUUAUCGACGCACGGCGACGGCGGUGUCGAGGAGGACGCAGAUGGAGAGCGACUAAGCACGCUGGUGGUCAGGCGAGACUUGCACGAGUUGGCAGCGACACGUUUGCCCAUGAAUCCUGCCUCCUACGCGCCUGUGCACGUGAAGCUGCCGGCAGUCUUGCCCACAACCUCACCGCCGCUCCGAUCUGGCCGGCCGGCCCACCCUAUCGCUGCCCAGCAGCACCGUGCCGCAUGUGAAAGCCAAGGGGGCCUCACCGGCAGCAGUGGUGCAUCGACGGCGGCUCACCACAGCGCGGCGGGCGCCACCACCCCGGCAGCCAUCGCACCAGUUUCGACGCCGUCGAGUGUGACAAUGUUCCACUACGGAUCGUUUCAAGCCGGCUACGCUUCCACCGCUGCCGCUGGCGGUGCUCUCACACCGAACGCGACGCCGCUGUUAAGCAACAGCAGCUUGUGCGGGUUCGCCAACUACUGCGGCGCCGGCAGCCUCGGCAGUGGCAGUGCGCCAGCGGCGUCGCUCAGCACCGCGACCUCCACCGCUGGUGCCAACCGACUUCAGCCGCCUUCCGCAGCGCGUCUAUCGGUGACUGGCAUGGGUGGUGGUGGUGGUGGUGCUGUUGCCGGGGUCUUGUCCCCGCUUUCUCUGUCCGGGGCUGCUGCGACUGCUCGCACAGUGCGCCGCCGCGCACCGCCGCCGUUGUUAUUUCGUCUUCGUUCUCCGGUCGGCCCAGCGCCGCCCAGCACCGCCGUCAGUGCGAACGAUACAAGCGGUGAGAUGACCUCUCCUGGAUCAGUUGCGCCGCCCUCUUCAGCGAGCCGAACCGCCACCUCGGCUGCCGCUGCUGCUGCCAGCGCCGGCGCCUGCUCCUCAGUGCUGACUACCCCUCCGCUGAAUUCGCGGUCCAUGGGGAUGACCAUGAACAGCGGCAGCGCAAGCGACUUGGCGAGCACGAUGGCAGAUCGACCCGCACGCGGAAGUGGCUGCAACCCCCCGGCCACACCCGCUCGAUCGGGCCCGUUCGCCCGCGCACAUGGCAGCGUAGCCCAGAACCUGAACACCUUUUCUUCUAGCACCCGAAGCGGCGGCCUCGUGCGCAUCUCACACGAUCGUCGCACCCUCGUCGCAGGGAUGUUCCGCGUGUCGCGGGACGGCUGCCUCACGGUGCGUAACAUGCUUCUCCUCAACCCGACCCGCAUCGACGCCGGCAGCGCCACUGGCGGAGCGGCCGGGCCAGGCUGCACCUGUGGCAGUUUUAUGGGCAGCAGCACAACCGGAACUGGUGGUGGUGGCAGCAGGAGUCGACCGCUACAGCUGCUGCACCCGCAGCGAUCUGCGACCAACUACUCGCCCGUGAGCAGCAACGGCGGCCUUGUGGGGCGCAUGCAACUACUCGGUCCCGGCGGCGGCAAUGACCUCGGGGGUGGUGGGGGUGCUGGCGGCGGCGCGGGUGGACUAGGCCCCAUGACACCGAACACAACCGGCUCCGACUGGUACUCGCCCCAUGCGUACCACGGCGGCGGCGGCGGGUCGGGCAACACGCGCAACAUGCACCACAGCGGCGGUGGAGGAGGGGGCGCCAACACCACGGCGAACGCGUCUUUCACUCUCUUCUCUACCAGCAUGGACACGCCCUUCAGCCCGAUCACUUACUCGAUGGACAGCCAGCGGCUGGCGCUCCCAAGCCCCCUCGGCGUGCACCACGAUAGAGCCGGUGCUGCCGCUGGGCCGCCGCCGCAGCUCCUGGGCACGGUGUGCGAAAACACUGCGACCUCUCACUUCCUCGGCGCGAGCGGCUCCCCACAUCAGCAGCCGCAGCCGCAUGACGGCUUGCUGCCUGGCUCGCAUCACGUGACAGAAACCAACGCUUCUCCUACCCGAAACCUUGGCUUCGGCAUGGUGACCGGUGGUGCCGCUGCAGCGGCGCAGCAGCAGGUCGCCACACCCAACUCCACCACCGCACUUGGGCGGCCUUCUGGCGGCAGUGGUGGCAACAUCUGCCACGCGCAGCUGCGGCGUCAGGCGAGCAACGGUUGGCUGCCAGGGGCGCUUGGUGCCACGAACACGGCCUCACCGCCCCCCUUUGCGGCCGCAGGCGGCGCAGGGGGCAUGUUGAAUGCCGGUGCCUUUACAGACACCGACACGGCGAACAGUCUGCUGCUGCCCUACGCCGAUAUACCAACCUAUAGAGGCGGUAUCGCCUCAGCGACUGCCGGAAGCCGUGUGGACAGCCCGUCCGGGCAUACAAACCCUGGUGGCUUCCGCACCACCACGACAGCAGCAACGGCGACGACGGCCGCCGCCCCGAUGAUGGGCGGCUCAGGGGCGACUCAGAAUACGUCGUUCCCGCCGCUGCCGCCAAACGUGGUUCGACUACGUGACCUCGACAUCCUCUCGACGACUUGCGGUGAAGGCGCCUCGGCGACGGUGUUCGUCGCGAUACACAAGCCCACCGGCCGCCGCCUCGCCGUGAAGCGGGUGGACCUCUCACCACUGUGCCUGGGCUGCUCCUCGCCGUUCCUGCGCAGCGGCGCCGUCUCGAGCGGUCGCAUCAAUCAGCUUCAGCGCAUCGUGGUUCGUGAGCUGCAGGUGCUGCACCUCACUUACCGCAGCCCAUUCAUGGUCAAGGUCUACAAUGCCUUCUUCCUCGCCGAGGUGGCGGCGCUAGACAUUGUGAUGGAGUUCAUGCACUACGGCAGCCUCGAUCACCUCGCCGACUGCCUACAACAGCAUGCGCGGAUGGUGCGAGGGUCGCAGCAAGAGCGUCACCGUCUGCUCACCGGCGACGAUGAUCAGGACGACGGUGACGGCGGCGGCCAUAGCGGCCGCUGCGGCAGUGUGCAUGGUGGUAGCCCAUCCGUUCCGCCUCUCCUCUGUGACGCUCCCGAGGCACCGCAGGUUACUGAGGGCUUUCUAAAGGAUACCUCGGCAGCUGGCGUCGGCAGGAGCGGUACUGGCGGCGACACCGAGCGGCGUCCGUCCAUCACCAGCACGUCACCUAAGCUGCUCGACUCCCAGCGUACUCUCGCAGAGCGGGCACCGCCGUCGGCGCCGAGGCCGUGCAUAUCAAGAGUCGUCGACACUACCGGUAGCAGCGACGUGGACAGCAUAGCAUGCGGCAGCGGCGGUGUGCCGUGCCACCCCCUCACCGGCGGCUACAAGCAUAUCUACGGCAGCAAUGACAGCCUUCUGCUCGACUCGUACUCCGUGAAGAGCGACUGCGGCACAGACGACUCGGAGUCGGACGACGGCAGCGGUCUCGUCGAGGAACCCCUUGGCGUCACAGAGCGCCUGGUCGCCGUCGUCGGGGAGCAGCUGCUGCGCGGUGUCCGCGACAUGCACUCCCGCGGCUACAUCCAUCAAGACAUCAAGCCCGGCAACGUCCUUGUGAAUGAGCACGGGGUUGUGAAGCUCAGCGACUUUGGGCUGUCGCAGCGCUGUGACAGCACCGGCCUCGGCAUCAAGAACGACAUGCUGACCUACGUGCCACCCCCCUCCGUCGCCCCGGCGCAGUCUAUCACGCCACUGCAGUCACCGUCGCUUACAGUUUUGCCACUGACAGGCGCACGUGGCCGUCGUGCGCCGUUCGUCUGGCACGCUCAACGUGGCAGCAUCGGCGCAGGCAUCAGCGGCCAGCUCGGCAGCGGCAUGGUCGGCACGACCCCGCCCGAGAUGGGGAGCUCUGCAGAGGGGUUGGUGUUCAGCAGCACCACAAACAGCCUGCUGGCGCAGCGCGAUGGCAUGGAUGUGCUGGAGGCGGAGUCGACAUCGUCGGAGGAGGGCUCCGGCGAAUGGGACGCUACCCGAAGGGGCAGAAGCGGUCUCAACCCAUCGUCGUCGUCGUCGGACGACGCCGGGGACUGCUGCGGCACCGACAAGUACAUGAGCCCCGAACGCCAGCGCGGCGAGCCGUACGGCAAGCCCGCUGACAUCUGGGCCGUUGGCGUCACCCUCGCAGAGUUCGCGGUGGGCGAGUACCCCUAUGACCUCAAGGACGUCAUCGACGAGUUCGACCGCGUGUCGCGGAUGGAUAAGCCGGUGGACGUAUUGCAGUUCAACAAACACCGCGCUGUUCCGUUGGGCACCGUCUUCGCGGACUUCUGCCGACUGGCAACACUGCCGACAGCUUCGCAGCGGCCGACGGCGCAGGAGCUGCUCGAGCACCCCUUCUUCAAGCAGUGGCACCGUCCGUUUAACCUCAAGGACUACCUCGCUGCCCGUGUGCCCGUGCCAUCGAACCGCCUAAAGGAGGACUACCUUGCGAAGCAGCGCGAGCGCCCGCCGGAGGGACAGCAACCGGCCGGGCCGCCGGGCUAAACCGCGCCCCGCACGUGCACGUGUGCGUAUCUGUUCGUGGUGUGUGAGAGGGAGACUCGAGGGCGAUCCAGCGCGUCUUGGAGGCGCGCGGGUCCGUGAGUGGCGAGAAGGCUGACGAUGGUGAUGUAUAGGUGUGCCGCGUUGUGGCGCAUGGGGCCGCAUGAACAGGCUUGCGGCCUGCCAGAGAGCUGGAUACGGAAAAAAGUAAGCGUCUGCGGACGCGGCGGAGGUCGUCUGCGACUGUGUUCAGCGAUGGGGGGAUCACCUGCUGAAAACGCGGGCAACAGAAAGGGGAGCCAAACAAGAAUGAACAGAACCACAUGUCUACGAGGAGGCUCACGGAUGGUGGGUGUGGUGCGGUGUGAAGAGUGCGCAUGGCUUGCGUGCGGAUUUCGAGACCGUCUCCGAUUCUCUCGACUCCUGCCUUCUCAUCUUUCCCACCCGCAAUCACUGAUAGCGCGGACCGCAACGAUGAUGAGCGCCUCAAGCAGCAGCGCCCCCUCCCCUCAAAAAGAAAGAAAAGAAGCGAAAUGCCCUCGGCUGUAGGCCGCGCACGUGCGCCGUGUACUGACCAAUACCACGGAGGGACAGCCUCCUCUUCUUCCUCGCGCGGGAGGCACCAUGGCCGAAGCGGGGUGGUGGUGUUCGUGCUGGCGAAGACGUUUUUGUUUCCUUCCUUCAAGCUUACCUGUGAGCCUUGGUGUGCUUGCAUGCAGACGUUGAGGUGGCGACCGGCGGAGUCGUCUUGAUGCACGUCGAUGGCGCUUCUCACCGGAUUUCUCGUUGAGGGAAGGAGAGGGAGGGGUUGUGUGUAAAGGCUCCUCUCACUCUCAGCGCUGAGCCUUUUCACUUCGUCUUCCGCCUCCUCCGCGCUGU